UUUUGAGCUGCCUUUGGUGGUGCAAGUUCGGAAGAUCCAGGUCGUGAUACUGAAUGAAUUAAGGAUUCAGCUGCUUGAGUUUGUUAUUGUGAGUAGUUUAACAUCAGGAUCCUGAUGUUGUUCACUGCAAAUACUGCUGGGGUUAAGUUUACCUGGUAUGAUGAAGAAAAUGGAUUCAGAAGAAACCUUGAGCAGAACCCGGCUCAUAUGGGGGACCCUCCUGCCGAUGGCCGGGCUGGGUGAAAGGAGGAAAAGGAGGAAGAUAAAGGGCUGGUUUUGGACUCAUACCUCCAGUGGUAAACAUGAAUAUUUAGGCAUGCCAGUCAUCAAUAAUAGCUAGUAAUUUCAAAUGAUUUUAACUUUGUUAUCCAGCUUCUUGAAAUACCACAGGGACGCAGGCGAUUAUAGUCCACAAGGCCAUCCUGACUGUGCAAAAUCUGAGCAGAUAAGCUUAUCAUCCAUCACUUUUUUCCUAAAACAUGCAAAACUGGAGUUUAACAAGGCUUUAUACUUUGGUUAUACACACUUGCUUAGUCUAUUUUAUCAUGUGUUGUUUUCUUUG